GUAGUAUGGGAGGUCGAGCACGUAGAGGAGGAAGUAGGCCCAGACCACGCCGGAGAUGCCGCCGAAGAAGAAGCCUCCGGUGAACUUGGCCCAGCCGUCGGCGGUCUGCAGCUUGUCGGCCUCCUUCUUGCGGCCGGUGAGCGUGAGCGUGGGCGCCGUGGACGGGUCGCCCUCGUUGAAGGAGGCGACGCCGUACAUGGUGAGGCAGACGCUGAGGAUGGUGACGAGCCCGGCGGCGCCCAGGGCGCCCGCCUGGCCGUGCACGGGCGUGUUGCGGAGCGGGCCGGUGAGGGCGAAGGGGCCCACGAGGAGGUAGCCGUGCGCAAGCCCGACCUCGAUGCCGCGGAGCAGCGGGCUCACGGCGGUGCGGUAGGCCGGGAGGUUGGAGAGGUACCAGGCGAUGAGCGGGCUGGAGGUGAUGGGCGUCUCCAGGCUGCCGAUGAAGGGGUCGCCGUUGAUGGGCUGCACCACCUGGUACGUUGUCUGCUCAAGAACAACAGACAGUUUCUAUCAUCAGAGCCAAAGAAUUUUGUUUGAUCAUACAAAGAUAUAUUAUUGAAUUGCUAAUGUUCAGAGCAUCAAAUUGUAUAUCCAAUUUCCAGUCCUGUGAGAUAGAUCAAAAUGAAUCACACAAGAUGACUGAACUGAAAUCAAGAUUCUAGCAGCAGCACACAUGCAAAGAACUGAUCGAUUUGGAAGCAUUUUGAAUGAAAUUGAUAAUUCAUGUUGCCUAUAGCCAAGAGCCAAAUCGAUCAAAACUAUAAAAAAGAUGCAUCACUAUUUCGUUGCUCAGUAGAUCCACUGACCUUCUCAGGCUGGAUGGCCUUCACGGUGAAGCGGGGCCGCCUGGUCAGCGCAGCGCCUGAAAGGCCCCUGGGCCUCGAGUGCACCAAGCCGCUCUUCAUCACCUGGCUCGCCAUGGGAGCGUACGCGGUAGCCAUCUCGACCUCUGCCUGUCUCUCACGAACAGGGCUCUUCCUUCCUGCAAAAUGGUAGAAGAGGUCUCCUUGUAUCGGCCCAAUUAAAGUUUGUGAUCUUUAGAUCCUGCAGGGGGUGUGUGAGAAGAUCUGUGGCGUGUUUGGAUGGAUGGGGCCCUGCAGCUGAGAUAUGGCUCAGAGCUGUGUGGCGCUCAUUGGGUGAAAGGAGUGAGCAACCCUAUCCCUUAUCCGAAUGCGUGGAGAUCUCCUCCCUCCACUGGACGCCUAGCUGGCGCCCCCAGCUUGCUGCCACGUGGAAACAGAAUCUGCUGUGCUUGUGACUUGGACUUCGUUUGGAUCGAUACUGAAGCAAUAUUUAUAUCUGCAGAAAGCAGAGCUGUUUGCGUUUUGGAAUCAAACUUCAACAAUACCAGCUCCCAAUAACCAAGAUCCUUCCUGUACAAUAUAACAAAUAUAUUUUGGGACUUUGUCAAUUCGACCUCAGGUUAGCAUAGUACUGCACAAACAAAAUUCAUAUAGAAGGAAACUCUUCCACCAGACUAUAUAUUGCCUGCGGUGACAAACUGCUUCAGAUGAAAAGAACUAUGCAAUCAAGUAAUGGCUCAGACCAGUGUUCAAUAAAUUUCCUCUUACAAAAGAAUCACUCACAUCGAGGCAUCAAGGCAUAAAAGAAUCAACAAAUGCCCUGUGAAUGGUUUACUACUCUCCAGCAGUUCAUGCUCCAGCAAAACUCAAGGGCCUGGGAGGUCGUUCCCAGUCCCCCAGAUGCUAUCUGACAUCGUACUGUAGGCGCUUGCUUUUCUGAAGACAGUCGUGGUAGCGGUAGAUGAGUCUCAGCAUGCAAUCCCUCAUGCAGGUGACAUCGAAGGAUUCAAUGAACCUCAGGUCUGACAAGCGGGAUUUGCCAGCAGCAUAGCGAUGGUACUCUUCAAAGACAGAUGAUAGGCACCAAUUCUGCAGCUUCCUGAAGCUGCCCACCAGACAUCCAGUGCGGUGCUGGAGUCAUGACAGAGAAAUCAAAUUCAAAGUCAGGACCAAAAAAUCAAGAUUUGAGGCAAUGAGAAGAGAAAAUAAAAGAACCAUCAAUUUAGAAUAAAGAAAUGCAUUUAUUGGUACCUUUCCUCUUUUGCAGUGGAUUAAAACUGGGUGAUUCCUAACAUCUGAGAACCAUAAAAGAGAACGAGUUACUGAUGGGUCAAAAUAGUUCCAUAUGAUCAUUUAACAUUAUUGGUCGACAGCAAAGACAAAUUGGAAAAGAUGGAGCCUAAUUCAGUACCAAGCAAGACCCUAAGAGCCCCCACGAUGGCAUCCACAGGUAUGGACACGUAUGGGUCCUGCAGAUGCAAACAUUUAAAUGUGCUGAACUUGCUGAUAUUGGAAUUCAAAAGAUCAGCAGACAACAAUAGUUGCUUCAAAUGAAAUUAACAGGAAUUAACAAUACAUAGGUCCCAAGUCACAGAUUCGUAAGGUGUAACAACAAGAAUCAAAUAGAAGUCAGACACUGUGUACGCACAAGAAACUGCAUGUCUGUUUUCAGUAAUGCAGUAUCUGAAAGUGUACAAUACCAGAAGAAACAAACUGAUCCUUGACAAGGAAACUGUAUCCAUCUGUACCUGCAACAACUUAUUCAUAACUGUGGAUAAAGGGAGACAGAAUUUUGUAGUAGUCCUGCACUUGGAUACCAUAAUAGGUAAUUUACCAUCCACAUUUGCUUCCAAAUAGGCAAACACCAGAUUAAUGAGCACCUCAAAAACCAGCACAGCGGCAUUCAAACAAUAAAAUUAACAUUCAAUGUAUCAGAAUUUGGAAAUUUAUCUGUUGAUUAUCCACACCACUGCAUCUUUGACAAUUGAUGUUAAGAAUGUCCAAUGGUCUACUUUCCUAAAUUUUAUUAAGGCAAAGUAUUAAAAAUAAGGGAGGCAUCUGAUGCCUGCUCAACUGACAACAAUAAAUACCCUUGCGAAGGUACAUGGAUUCCUUUUACACAGUAAAGAAAAGCUAACUAUAACCACCAUUCAAUGUUCUAAAGCAGUAUACCUUUGGAUCCAUAGAUCUAUCUUAAGAACUACAAAGCAUAUAAUAUAAGUGUACCGAUGUAUUUAUCUUCAAGACUGCAUACCUUUUGCAGUUGAAAUGCAAGUAUAAGCACUAAUUAUCAUUACCUCCAAGUUUGCGCUCUAAUUGGACAAUCCAACUUAAAACUAUCCUAUGACUGGAGGAGUGACUACCAAAGCUUCACAUAAUCCCAUCAGAUUUACCAAAGCAAAAAACAAUAGAAAAAACAUAUAGCUGUGCUGAGUUUUCCUUUCCCCCCAAAGAGCACAUUGAAUUCCACUACUGCCAGAGCGCAAUCGAGGUAAUCAAUCAAUUAAGUACUACGAACAACAUAUCAAAUAAACACGCAAUCUCAUAAGAAUCUAAGGGGAAAACGAGACAUAUAAUACACAAGGGAAGAAAAUAGGAAAUCAGACCCACCUUGGUGCCUUCAAUCCCGAACUGGAAGAGGCGGAUCCCCUCGGCCUUGAGGAACGCGGCGUUGGGCUCCGGGUACGGCUCCGGGCACAGGUACCUGCAGCACCGCCGCGUCAGCCACGGAGAUACGACGGCCCAUAUCGCCACCAAACACGACGCAGGAGGGAACCAAACGAACCGAUCGCAUCCAAUCCAAUAAUUCCAAUCUAACAAUUUCGAUUCGAGGUGGGGGGAUUUCGGCGGCUCACACGACGGAUCGGAGGCCGAGCCCCCGGAUGAAGCCGAAGCUGGCGGCGUCGGGGAAGCCCGAGCGGUAGACCCCCGCGUCCACCAUCCCGAAGUUGGCCGGCGGCGCCACCAGGCCCGUCCCCGCCCCCUCCUCGUCGACCUGCUCCAGGAUCAUGCCUGCCUCCUGGCCCGGCCCCGGCCGGGGCCCCGCCGAUCCGAGGGCGGGUUCGGCGGCGGCGCCGGAGAUCGCGGGGGACGGGAGCGCGCGAAGGGCGGGCGGCUAAGGGCUAGGGCUGGCUCGGUCUCCGCGAGGUGAGGGACGGAUCGCAACGGUCGGCUCGGUCGCCGUGGGGACGGACGGGCGGGGGCGGGGGUGGGAAUGGAAGGGCCCGUGGGCGAUGGGCUGGGCUGACCCGCCGCCUGCCUCUCGUCACGGCACGGGGGACUGGGGUGGGGUGGGGACGUGGGGUGGGGCGCGCGGCCGCACGGGCCCUUCUUGUACGGGUGGCCGGGUGGGCGGGUCAGUGGGAAAAGGUGACGCCUGAGUCCUGACGCGGGAGGAAGGCUCCGACACGGUGCGGCGGGGCUCGGUGGGUGGUGGGGUGGUGUCGUCGUCUCGUUGGGAGGAAGGGGAUGCGGUUUCCAGAACCCAGAGAGGGGUUUGGUUUGGUGAGGCGACGCCUGUAGUUUCGUACGGGCAAUGCAAUCGACGAGCGGGGGAUGUUUGUAAAGGAUCGCAUCCGAUGUUCGGAUGUUAAUGAGAAGGAUUAAAAUAUAAAUUAAUUAUAAAAUUAACUGUACAAAUGGAAUCUAAUUCGUUAAUUAUAAAACUAAUUGUACAAAUGGAAUCUAAUUCGCGAGACGAAUCUAUUAAGGCUAAUUAAUCCAUCAUUAGCAAAUAAUUAUUGUAGCAUCACAUUAUCAAAUCAUGAACUAAUUAGGUUUAAUAGAUUCAUCUCGCAAAUUAGACUCUAUCUAUGCAAUUAAUUUGUAAUUAGACUGUUUAAUACUUUAAUUAGUAUCAAACAUCCGAUGUGACAUGUGAGGCAGGGUAUCCAAAUAAACUAGGGGCCUGUUUGGAUACAGGCUCAUAAAGUUUAGUACCUGUCACAUCGGAUGUUUAGAUACUAAUUAGGAGUAUUAAAUAUAGUCUAAUUACAAAACUAAUUACACAGAUGGAGUCUAAUUCGCGAGACGAAUCUAUUAAGUCUAAUUAGUCCAUGAUUUGACAAUAUGGUACUACAGUAACCAUUUGCUAAUGAUGGAUUAAUUAGGCUUAAUAGAUUCGUCUCGCGAAUUAGUAUAGGGGUUCCGCAGUUAGUUUUAUAAUUAGUUCAUAUUUAGUCCUUCUAAUUAGCGUCCGAACAUCCGAUAUGACCCUCCUCCUAAAAUUUAAAGUUUAGUACAUCGCAUCCCCUAAAAAUUUAAAGUUUAGUACAUCGCAUCCCCUAAGUUUGCGUUAAUUUCAGGAACCGGCUAACGUACGGCCUGUGCAUUUCGGGCAACCAGGUUAUCAAGCUUUUGUCCGCUUUCUUUUUAUGGAAAAUACUUCCACUACAUUUCAAAAGCACAGCCACGGGUGAUCCAGAAACAGAAGAAAUUGCGUAAACAAAACAUGCAAUUCUAUUUAAAAUAUGCAUAUGAUCAAGUAUACACCACAUGAUUCACAACUGCAAAAUAUCAUAAACCUAGCAAUUUGGUUUUUGAUAGUCUAUUUACACAAACAGAUUUGCCUCUCCUUCAUCCCUUCAAUCAAAAAUUGAACAUUCAUGACUCGUGAUUGUGCGGGCAUCUCACAAAAAAAGAACUACCAGCAUAUUAUCAGAGUGCACAUUACUAUACUUCGUACUUGCACAACUGAUGAGCUCCUUUCGUGACCUGCCAUACAGCAAGAAAAAAUGGGACUACAUCAGUUAACAUGGACAUAAUAAAAGGGCAAACAAAUAAAAAUAAGUUGGAUGACCUGAAGAACUAGCAUGUGUAUCCUAAUUAUCAACAGAGGCACUCCAAAUAUAAAAUGUCAUCAGAAAUUGGAUGUUUUGCUUGUUUCGUAGCCAAAAAAAAUGCCUAACUAAAAAUAUUACUUUGCCUAACUAAUAAGAGUGUAUUGCCUAGGCACAGUAAGUAAAUGGCAUUUCAAUAAUAAAAUGAUGCAAACCAAUCUGCGACUAUCAAACUGCUGAAUUGAAUAAGAAAAUAAGGACCAAAGAACUGCACAAACAAGCUUAACAGAUAAGCCAAAAUCAAAAUUGUUUCCGAUGUGGUUGAGCAAAAUCAACCAAACCCACAUGCAGAUACAAUUGGAAAUCAACCACAGAUCAAACCGAAAGCAAAUGGCUGCAAGCUGCUAUGGGAACACAGAUCAAAAUGAGAGCAGAGGACAUGCUAAGGAAACAGAUGGGCUACUAAUCAAACAUCGAGCCUUGUACUGCUGGUGCCAAACAGUGCAAGUAUAAAUAACUAAACUACUCCCAAACCACUCCAAUAGUUGUCACAACUAAACUACUUGAAAAGAUAAAUCAGAAAUAUUUCCUUACCCCCACCUUUUACAUCCACAUCAAUAUCCAUUAUCAACCGUAGUUACUCAAGCUAGUCAUCUAGCUAUCCAACUCAGUACCGCAAAAAAGCAAAAUAACAGAUAGGCAAAACUAGUGAUGCUUAUAUGAUAAAAAAUGCAGGAUCUAGCGCAAAUGCUGCCAUGCCAGGAAAAAAGCCUACAUAUAAUUGAGGGUGAAAAACAUGACAUAUCAUUCCGGUUAAAUAUACGUGCUUGAAUAUCAGAAUCAGAAUGACACAUCACACAUAUCACAUCCAGUUCUGCAAGUGACUAAGAAUAGGACAAAACACUAGAAACAUGUUUUAUCUAAAUCAGGAUAUGUAAAUUGCUUAUCGGAAGCAUUAAAAUGCUAGAAGGACUAAGAUAAUUGCCAAUGAAAAACAAUUAGCAUACUAAUUUGAACAUAGAAAAUGAAAACCUUUUUGGGGGGCACAUAUGACACUGGAUGAUAGCGCACAUCCAUGUGCAUCUACAGUCCUAUAGGCAUUAUAUCAAAUCUCUGGGAAAAAAAAUCUGUAGUGAAAAUUACCAGAAUAAAAAUUGAGUAUGGUGCUUGGGUUAUAGGUGACAUUUUAGUUCUAGGUUACAUUGUAAAAAAAUCAAGUGGUUGUCUAGUGGAUAAAAAGCCAAUAGCACAAAAGCACCAAGCACAAAAUUAAUCAGUAGAAAGCCUGAACAAAAUAGAAUAUCGUGAGAACACUGAAAAUGCUAAUAUCACAACACAAAAACUCAGCUUAAAAACCUAACUUGCAAACUCAUACCAGAGCAUGAAAUUAAGCAGAUAAAUAAAUCUCAACCACCAAGAAACCAAUACUAAGUUGUUCAUCGGGAUUUAACAAAGUUGACAGGCAGCGUAAAAGAAAGCUAAUAGACAAAACUCUGCUGACAGAUUUUUUUUACUGCUUCAAGUUUGGUGCUCAAUCUUCUGUCAUCCAAACAAUCACGUUCUAUGCAUGCAUAUUGUAUAUAUUCAAAAAAAUAAUUUACCUGCACAUUUUAGCCCACCAAACCAUUGCCAUAUCGAGCUAGUAGUACUGCAGUAGUACCAGAAUUUAGUAACUAAUUUCUCAUGUUAAAAUUCUAAGCAUGAAUCUAGAUAUAUUUGAAAAAACUACACCUUUUAUCCCAAAAAAACCAUUGCCAUCUCAAGCUAGAAGUAGUAUCUACCAGAAGUUAGUAACUAUCUCAUGUUAAAACUUGUUCGAGCUUAGCAUAAACACUGCAUCAAACAACCAAGACAUGCACACACUUCAGCUAACACCUCUCAAAAUGGUAUAUCAACACACCUCAUGUCUUACUGCUCUUUGGACUAUUUGUUAAAGAUCAAUAUCAGAAAUGUCAUGAUAAAAAAUAGUUGAGAAUCAAAGCUGCUCACCAAUAUUACUACCAUACAAUCUCAACUACCUAUUUUUCCCAAUUAUCUCAGUUGAUAUAUUGCUCAGAAAAAUAACCAAACUGUGCGGCAACUGAAUUGUGAACCUACGGACAUGACGUCUGGAGCACAACCGGCAUCCGCAUGAAUACAGUGGUGAUUUGCAGCACGAACUCCCUCCAUGUCAACCACUGUGUCCCAGAGCAGAUCUCGUAGCACCAUGGCAUGCUCGUCUCCACCCUUGGCGCACCUAACAGCACCACCAUCAGAAGUUAUAAAACCUGAAACACGCCUCAAAAUAGAGGAGAACAGACAAGGGGACUCCAGCAGAGAGUAUGCGAGGUACGGAAUCAUGGAGACCUCGUCGGCCAUGGCUUCGUCGACCUCCUCAGCGAGCCAGAGGAAGCUCUCUCGUUAGAUUGCGAUGGAGCUUCGCAUUGCCGUAGUCGUCGCCACCGAUUUCUCCUCUUUGCGCGGGGCCGGGUAUAGCCAGAUCCGGCGAGGCGGAGGGCAGGGGACGCGCAAGCCUCGUCGCCGCGUCAGCCACGGCGUCGUCAACCUUGUCAGCAAGUCUGGAGAGGCUCUCUUGGAGGAUCACGAUGAAGCAAGCUGGAUCCGCCAGCCCCAAAUCCCUGAACCCUAACCCGGUCUUGCCUCAAUUAGAGGGAGGUAGGAGGGAAUGAGGAAUAGCAGCAGGAGGAGGAGAACCGACCUCAUCGCCAAUCAUCGCUAUUAGCCAUCAGAGCUCCCCGAAACGCCAUGGAUUUGGAAGAGAGCUUGCGGGAGGGGGAAGAACGGGAGGAGCAAGGAAACAGAAGAGACACGGGUGGGAGAACGGAUAAGGUUGAUGGCCACAUGCGUGUGCAAAUGUUGCGUGGGGAGUAGGGCUGCGGCCGUGCACUGAGCCAAUCUUACGGCCGGCCGGUAGUUUAAAAUUAAUGAAGAUGCUUGUUGCUAUUAAACUGGAAUGUUGGUUGUUGGUUUUAGAAUAAAUGGUGGGUGCAAGAUGGUUGCCAGCCAUCAUCCAAAUCAAAAGAUAGAAUUUAAUGGUUCUUGGCCGUUUUCUCUGUCUCGUGAUGGCGCGCUGCAAACACAUGGUUUUCGAGUACUUUUGGGAAAAAGAAGAUUCUCAAUUAAUACAUGAUAUUCUCCGUCAAUGGUAAAUAUCUCAUGCAAUAGUUAUUAGACAAGAAAUCGCUUAAAACAACAUCGUAUACAAUAAGAGUUUGAUAAACACGCAAGUACUUGUUGGGAAAAAAAAACAAUAAACACGCAAGUCAUGUUACAAUAUUGAUGAUGAUAUUCAAUUUAUUUAGGGGACAUAGUGACAUAUGUUACGUAAAUUUUGUAACCUAUUUUAAUAUAUGCAAGGGCUUCCGUUUGUGAGUCUGUAGACCAUGUUUUCGUUCUUCAAUUAUCAACAAUAAUUGUUGUGCUAUUUUCUUCAUGUCUGGACGAUCUUUGAUGUCGGUGCUCAGAUAUUUAAAUGCAAGAUUGAAGAUAUCUUCAAUAACAACCUCCUCUUCCUUUUUUGCAAUCUCCUCAUCAACCAUAUCAUUUACUAUCUGUUUUCCUUUAAUGAAGCAAGAACGGAAGUAGAUAUGGUGCAAGUUCAUUCUCCACAAAAUCAUCGCAUACCUUCCUCCUAGUGAUGAGUUCUACUAGUACAACUCCGAAACUAGAGGAUGCCUUCACACUUGAACUUUGGACCAGCAUACCCAUUGCUAACUUCUUUUUGCGAGAUUCGUGGUUCUGAAGCAGAAGGUUGAUGAUACUUCUUGUAAUUAUUGCUUUGAGAGGCUCCAUUGCUCAAUGAAGAAGAUACUUGAUUCACAUGCCCAAGUCCAUGACUUAACAUUUGGGGUAUGUUGCCAUGAGUGCUGUGAGGGAUUCCUCCAGCAUUUUAUGCCCCAUAGAGAUGUUCUUCCUUUCGACAAAACUGAGAACCCCUAAAAGAAAUAAAAAAAGUGAGAAAAAUUAGGCUUAAUAGAUUCGUCUUGUCGAAGCCUAAUUUUUCUAAGACACAGUCCCAUGAGAACUCACGCAACACAAUCAGAAUGAGGAUGAGCAUGAUGCCAUAGUUUUUAGAGUUUUGGGCCUUGGCCCAAAUAAAUUCCAGAUAAAUUUUAAAGAUGUGUACUAAAAUUUUUCAGGUGGAUGGUAACCUAUUUUCACAGUGUUCUACCCGCUUAUGAUCCAAGGACUACGCAAGCGGAAAAUUGACCUCUUGUGGUAAGCGAUUAACACAUGUUGUUCACUUAGGGAACAUAUGUGAAAAAUAUGAUUUUUCACAUUUGGUCUACAUAAGGAACCUCAUGUGAUAAUCCUAUUUUUCACAUGUGGUUCCUUAAGUGGACCCAGAUGGUAAUCAUUCCAAAACCUUAAACAAAAGCACCCACACGAAUAAGCUCCAUUGUUCUUCAGCCACCAUCGCACUCGGUCCUACGUGGUAUCGAGGAGCCUAUCUAGAUCCAAACACAAUGAUUAGAUCUCACUACCCUGCAUCCCUUGCAUACUACUCCCUCCGUUUCAAAUUAUAAGUCAUUCCAACUUUCUUGGAGAGUCAAAGCAUCUCAAGUUUGACCAAAUUUAUACAAUAAAGUGCUAACAUUCAUGAUAUCAAAUAGGUACCAUUAGUUUCUUUAUUAAAUAUAUUUUCAUAGUAUAUCUAUUCGGUGCCAUAAACUUUUGUGAUUUUCUCUAUAAUUUUAGUCAAACAUAAAAAUGUUUGACUCUCCAAGAAAGUUGGAAUGACUUAUAAUUUGGAACGGAGGGAGUAGUUCUUAGAUUUGCCUACCUCCGCUAUUGACGAGCUCGCGAUCCACUCCCACAUGGGACGAGGACACAAACGCUACUGAGCUCAUGAAUAUGACCAACCUCCGGAGCACCACCACCACCCAUGUGUAUGAAGUCAUGGAUCCCAGGGAAAACUUUUUCUGUGAAAUUUCAGAGAAAUAUCCAAAAUACGUGUUUAUCAGUAGGUCCCAUAAUUUUUAUCUACCAAAAUUUCAUAUACUGAAACUAUCUAAUAUAUUAAACUUAUGAUAUAUUGCCUUAUUUCUUUGUUGUUACAUACAAUGUUAUGUUAUGAUAUAUGCUAGUUUAGGGACCAUUUCUAGCGAAAUUAUGCAAAAAUAAAUUUUAAGAAAAAAAUUAUCUGAUAUGUUUCCAUCCGAUAAAUUUUAUUUCCUAAUUUUUUUAAGGGCAAACUAUGGGGAACUUCCCCACGGCACUUCAUUUUCAUUUCAUUAUAAAAGAGAUGAAAAAAGUGCAGGGGUAUACUUACAUAUGGAAGAGAAAUAUUUACAAGAAAGGGGAGAGGUGGAUUAAGCUAUGUAAUUGUGUCUAGCCAUGGUAAAACUAUUAGUCUAUGGUCCUCCCUGACACGGUGCAGCUGAAGGACUACUUGCUCCUUGAAUCUCACGACCCAAAGACGUGUUGACACUGUUUUCCCCUCAAAGAUGAUUGCGUCGUUCCUCAUCUUCCAGAUUUCCCAAGCGGCAGUUAAGAAGAUUUCCAUAAAGAAUGGUAGAUGAGAAGCGUCUUUUUGCGAUCCUUACACGGUCAUGUGUAUCGGCUUGGUUACCCCCAGGUUAUAUGCAUAGUGUUCCAGCACCUUACAGAGAAGGGGCACUCAAAAAAGAGAUGGUCUCGCUGCCCCGCGUGCACGUCGACAAGCUGGUGAUCUGGAGCAGUCAAUAGCUUGGCAUUCUAUGCCUUCGCUUUCCAGAGUACCGAUUGGUUACGGAUCACCAACAAUUAUAUAGCUCACCUGUAAUUACUUUGAGCUGCUCUUAGUUUCGCAGAUUCUAAGGCACUGAGAUAAGUUCUCUACAAGGCCCUGUUUGGAAGACUGGUUUUCAGCCUAAAACCGGUGUAAUUUACGGAUCCAGAAUUUUUUCCAAGCUCAACGUGUAAGCCCUUGUUUACUUCGCGAAUUUGGGAGGUGCCAAAUUACUGUAGCAACACUGUAGCGUUUCGUUUGUAUUUGUGAAUUAUUGUCCAAAUAUUGACUAAUUAGGCUCAAAAGAUUCGUCUCGCAAAGUACAACAAAACUGUGCAAUUAGUUUUUGAUUUCGUCUACAUUUAGUACUCCAUGCAUGUACCGCAAGUUUGAUGUGAUGGGGAAUCUUCUUUUUGCAUAGUGUAAAAGUUGGGAGUUUGGAGGUAAGAGAACAAGGGCUAAUUGCUGUUUGGAUAGCAAGUAAACCUAUUUAAAUUACCGUCGGAUUAGCCAGUUACAACCGGAAAUAAAAAAUCUCCUCCGGUGACAACAGUUUUUAUCCGACAAGUAUCGGGCUCCCUCCGCUCGCUCGCUCUGCGGCGGCCACCGGCUCCAUCCUCUCCCUGCUCCGCCCCGUCUGCCGUAGCCGCUAGCUCCAACCUCUCCCUGUCAACGCCGCGCCGCCGCCUGCUCCGCCCCGUCUGCUGCAGCCGCCAGCUCCAACCUCUCCCUGUCAACGCCGCGCCGCCGCCUGCUCCGCCCCGUCUGCUGCAGCCGCCAGCUCCAUCCUCUCCCUGUCAACGCUACGCCGCCGCCCAAUCUUCAGGUGCGGUACUGCCGCUGCUGCGGCCAGCGCCUCCUGCAUCUCAUCUCUACCCAAUCAGAUGCGCCAUCCGGGUCGCUGCUUCUCCGUCGGCGAGCUCCAGAAGUGGUCCUUCCCCAAGUUUGCAUCCGCCGCCAUCGAAAUUUGAUACUCGAUGCGAAUGCUUUUGAUGAAAUAAUGGGCUUGGCCCAUUCUAAUUUUAAAAAUUCCAAAUAAAUAUCAAAAAGUCCAUGUGGUCAUGAGCAAGUGGUGGAGUGGUGCAAUCUUUUAGUUCCAAAUGGCCAACUUAAAUAUGAAAGUUAUCUCUACUCCUCCAAGCUAUGUGUGUGCGGAGAGAAGGAAAGCUCCACGCGCGCUCGCUCGCCACGCCACGUGAUGCGGCUCCUGCGUGAAUAGUCCGCCGAAAUCUAGCCCCUCGCCUUGCGGGGUGCGGUUUCCUUUUGCCGUUUUAUUUUUUGUUUACUUGCCCUUUAAGUCAGCGAGAUAUAUGGAAGUCUAAUCAGUUUAGAUCACGAUCGCGACGUGAGAUAGUGGGCUCUCCUAUAUAUAUACAACCUAUCGGUCUCUACCAAAAAUAUAUCUAAUCGAGCUAGGGUUUUUGCCUCUUCUCACUGCUGCGCCGCUACCGUAGUCUACUCCAUCCCGAGCGCCAGCGUGCACCGGCGAACGGGAAAGCGGGUCUCCGAAACCUCUCGCUCCUGUGAUCCUGCACUGGGAGAGAGCGAAUAAGGUUUUUGGGAAGCGCUCCGCAUGACUGCUCAAGGUCUUCACCACAGCUUGUCUUCCGUCCCAGUCCGGCGUCGCGGCGGCCCAUGGUCUUCGGCGUCAUCUGCUGCGCUCCGUCUGCAACACCGUCGUCGUUCCGUCAGCACCGCUUGCUAUCACAGCUGCAUCCGCAAAGCACGUACGUCGUGAUCCAAUCUGUUAUUUCAGCAUGUUUUCUAAGAUAAUGAAGUUGUGCUUGCUAUUACCUAGUAUGUUAGAUAAUUACAUGCUAGGUUUUAUUCAUAUCAUAAUAAAUCUAGUUUGGAAAUUAAUCAUGCAGUUGUCUAAUUUUUCAACAGCUUUGAGGUUCAAGCCUCCAAUUCGAUGCUCUGGUCGUGAGAUACCUCUUCAGUGCAGCUCCUAUUUGUUGCUCUGGUUUGAAAUUUUUUUGGAAGUCUAAUCAGCCGCUAGGAUUGCUUCAGCUCUCCGGGAGUGGCUCCCUUGCUUCUUUCUCUUUUUUCCCCUUUCUUUUUCGUUCAAUUUGACGUUUGAAAGGAGGCUCCAUGAUUUUACACAAACAGCUAGUUUAGAACAACUCCAAGAGCUCCCUUAACCUACACCAAAACCUUAAUUGGGGAAAAUAGUAAAAAAUAUUGCUCCAACAGGUCCCCUAAACCUCCCGCAAAUUUGCGUUCACCCGCAUCCGGAGCUAUUUUUCCUGUAAAUACACACGGCGCACCUCCUUCCCCAAUCCAUCCACUCACGCCUACUUGCGCCUUUUUUCCCACGCGCGCCAUUUUCCUGAGUGUCUUCGGCGGUGGCAGCGCCGUUCCUUACCCUUGCGGCCACGGCACCCGGGCUUCCCCGAGCGGCGGCGUCGCUGGCCUGUCCUCCCCGAGCGGCGGCAGCGCCCGGCCUUUCCUCCCCGAGCGGCGGCUAAGCCGGCGGCCGGCCCUGUCCUCCCCGAGCGACGGCGGCGUCGGGGCUGUCCUCCCCCCGGCGGCGACCGGCCCUAUCCUCCCUGAGGGCCGCGACAGGAAGGGCCGCACUGUUCUCUGGAUCAUCGGUAACUAGUUCCUAGGUACGUAUCAGAUUUUCCCCAAAUCACAGGCUUCUAGGCUCCAGCAUAUACUGAUGGACCAUGCCUCUAUUUCUAUGUGCAGCUCGAGGCGGAGGAGGCACUACAGCGGCGCCCGGCCUUCCCCGAGGUCUUCUCGGGCGGUAGCGGCGCAAGUUCCCCAGCAGCGGCGGCGCCAGGCCUUCCCGGGCGGCAGUGGCGCAAGAGGCCCGUAGAAGGAGCCACCAAUGUCAAGUGCUCCAAUCCGGCAAGUUCAAGAUCGGCACGACAGGCAGAAGAUGCGUCGGGUCAUGGCUGUCGGCGGCCCCAACACCCAAUGGAAUGGCGGUGUUGCCGGCGAUGAUGAUAAUCCCCUGGCGGAGCAUUACCCUGGCAGCGACACCUCCUAUGCAUCCUUUGAGCACAUGGCCAACGGCAAUAAUUUUCUGAAUGGUAUGGUUCUCAUAAGCUGUUAUCCUAAUUCGUCAAUCAAAUUCAUGUUUUGUUUUUGAAUCAUUUUGCUCAAUGAAUACUCAUCUAUCUGUUCCAUUAAGCUGAGUACCAUUGAGUACCACUGUUCACUUGUUCAAUUCUUGAGAUUUCUGUCCUGGUAAUAUUCUGAAUUAGAUUAGAACAACUUUAGCUGGAAAAUCUGAGCUGAUUGUUCUACACCCAGCAUUCACUAAAUUUGGGACUGCUGAUUGCUUAAUCUUCAAACUCUAUGCCCAAUUUUUGCCGACCUUCACUUCUGUUCCUCUGGAUCAUCAGCUGACGAACUAAUAUGUCCUGAUCAACAAUAAGAAAAGCAUGUACAAUAUUUAUGGAAACAGAGCAAAGGCAUCCAAUCAGUGAGAGUAAAAAAGGACUCAUGCAAGAGCACUUUGAUUAGAAUUGCUAGUACCAUAGUUUAGAUUCAGAGCAGGCUGCCCAUUAUUGUAAAUCUGAGUUAAAAUUCAGCAUCUGUACUUGAGCGCUUGCAGUUGCUUGAGAAAUUGUUACUGCCUACUACUAUUCAUCGACUGAAAACAGGCUGCUCAUUAUUGUGAACAUGAGUUCUGCUUUCUUUUUUCACAGCUUGAGAUAUGAGCUUCAAGUCACUCAUAGUCUCCAGUGUCAUGCUCUGGAAAUCCUGCUUCAGGUGGAGCUGUGCUCGAUUUUCCUAGCAGUGAAUCAUUUUCCGAUGCUUCAAUUGUUGGGUUAUUUGCAAUAAGAUUCCCUCUGUUCAUAUUCUCAAGAAUAUUCUCAAAGUUUUGCCCUUCUUGACUUAUGUUUCAAAGCAUGCUUAAUAUGAUCAACAGUAUAGGGAUAGGAGUCACAGAACAGGAAUAACCACCAUGAUUCUCAAACCUUUACUAUGACAAUGUUGCUUGAGUAAUUGGGAUAGGAGUCCCAGAACAGUUGCUUGAGUAAUUCAGCAUCUAGUUAGGAUGUUGCAGGAAAACAAGUCCUAACCAAAUAAUUUAGUCAUAUAACUGAGCUGACAAAACUAAUUUGGAAAAAAGUUUUGAGAUAUCCAGGCUGCAGCAGCAGCUCUCCCACGUAGAAAAAGAUAUCAAGGCUGACAAACUUACAUUCUCCAAUUUGUAGCAUUAGAAAAAGAAAGGAGCAUCAUAAAACAACUUUGAAAAAGCAGAAGAUACCAGACUGACAAGCGAGCCAUUCUCAAGUGACAAUACCAUUAUAAUUGGAAAGACAAAAUCUUAUUAAUGCCAGGUCAAAAUUCUAAAACCGAGAGCAAUACUUGCGCGAAUUCUGAAAUGGAAUAACCCAACAGAUAUGUUGUUUGACUGAUACAAAAGUACAGAGAUAGUGAGGACAUCUGGUAGUUCUUACAGAAGAAAUGGAAGUGGAAUCCAACUAAAAAUAAUAUAUUUACCUCUGUUCAUCAGCAUGGUAGAAUUACUACUGCUCUAUAUGUUAUGUUCAUUGAGGUUUGAUAGAUAACUUAUCAAUGAUUAAAUGCUUGCAGGAAAUAGAUAUUUUUCCAACAUGAUACUGGAUGAAACCAAUCAAGAAGAUUUUGAUAAUUAUAGCAACACAUAUGCUGACCAACAAUCACAGGCAAUUGAAGAAGUUCCAGCAACCCCAUCCACGAGGUCAAACCAUAAGAUAUCCAAGAAUUUUAGUGACCACAAAGAUGAGGUUUUGGUUUCAGGGUGGCUGAAUGUAAGCUUGGAUCCAAUCGUAGGCAAAGAUCAAAAAAGUGCCAAGUAUUGAUCUCGUAUAUAUGAGUACUUCAAUGAACACAAGACGUGCCCCUCAAUGCAUACCAUAAAUUCUCUCAUGCACUGGUGGGCAUACAAAAAUGUGUGAACAAGUUUUGUGGAUGUCUAUCACGGAUUGAGUUAAGACUUCAGAGUGGUACUUAUUCACUAUGCAAUACAAGGAUUUGUUUCAAAUAUUUUACAUUUAUACAUCAUAUAUGAAUAUCCAUUGGAUGUUGGUGUGCGCAAGUUGCAGAGGCAUGUGCUUUGUACAAGUCCGAAGAUGAACAUAAAAAAGCAUUCCAGUUCAUGAAUUGGAAUAAGCUAAGAACACAAUCAAAAUGGCUUGCUAAAAUUGAUGAAUUGGCUGCAGAAGACAAGCUCAAAUGUUGGCCCAAGUGCAAGUUUACCAAGUGAAUUAGGAGAAGGUGAGGUUCAAGGCAUAGAGGAUAAUGUAUUGACAAGGCCAAUUGGUAAGAAGAAAACAAAAGCAGCACUGCUGCAAGAGAAGAAAAAAAUUAUGACAGCAACCUUAGAAAAUAUGUGGGCACAGAAGAAAGAAACUGAUGGGGAGAAAGAGCUAAAAAAAGAGGAGAAGUUUAACAAAGCAUUUGCUCUUGAACAUGAUCGAGUUGCUCUUGAACAUGAUCGAGUUGCAAAUGAAAAACUACUUCUUGAGUUGAGGAGCCAGGAGGUCCAGUUGCAGAAAAGGAGGGAUGAAGAGAGGAUUAUGACCACGGACCUUACUGCCACGCCAGAUGAGCAAAAGAAAUACUACAUGUCCUUACGGGCUGAGAUCAUGAGCCGACUAUCUAUGCCUAGUGCUUAAUUACUAUCAUGUUUGUUCUGUUGAUUUAGGAACUCUUUUCCAAUUUCAGACUUGUUUUAUUUACUUUGAACCUAUCGAUGAUUUGGUCUGUUUGAUAUUGAACGGUAAAGCCAUUUAGAAAUUUCAGACUUGUUCUGUUCUGCUAAUGAUGGCUUACUUGGUUUGGUAAUUCAGUGAUGCUUUAUGUUGCUUGCUGCAAACAUGAGAGAGUGGUGUUCUGAAGCAAACUGCUUGGUUUGCCUUGUAAUGUCAGGCAUCAUAAUUUUGCACUCUACAAACUUAAGAGGCAGUAUGCAAACAUCCAAUAAAUUAGUAGUAAUGUACCAACAAAUUGUUUAUAUCUGUAUGGUUUAUCUCAAAUUACAAAAAAAAUUUGUAACGUAGCAAAAAUUAUUAAAAGUAACAAUUACUAUGAACUAUAGGCAAUUAUUUGUAGAGGUCUGGAUGAUGUUGCCACAUGUGCUCAAUGAGGUCAUCUUGAAGCUGAUAAAUAUCUUUGUCCCUUAUAUUCUUGUAAUUUUUAAUAAACUCCUCAAGUUCAGGUAUUUCAUCGUGAGAAAUCUUCACCUUUUCUCCCACCCUAUUAUAGUUUAAAUCAUCUUCCUCAUCGCACUCAUCCUCAACUAUCAUGUUGUGCAUAAUGACACAAGCCCUCAUGAUUUGCCUAAGGGUGUCUUGAUCCCAAAAUCGAGCUGGCCUCCUAACGAUAGCGAAACGAGACUGUAGAACCCCAAACGCUCGUUCCACGUCCUUCCUUUAAGCUUCUUAGAUAGUUGCAAAAUAUUUUUUCUUGUUACCUUGUGGUUCAGGUAUGCUCUUCACAAUUAUGGCCCACGAGGGAUAUAUGCCAUCAGCAAGAUAAUAACCCAUUGUAUAUUCAUUGUUAUUAAUGGUAUAAUUCACCUUUGGAGCUUGACCUUCAGCUAGUCGUGCGAAUAAAGAAAACUGGUGCAAAACAUUGAUAUCAUUGUGGGAACCAGUCAUCCCAAAGAAAGCAUGCCAAAUCCAAAGAUCUUUAUCUGCAACAGCUUCAAGUAUAAUUGUAGGCUCAUGCACAUUCCCGGUAUACAUACCUUGCCAUGCUGAAGGAUAAUUUUUUCACCUCCAAUGCAUACAAUCAAUCGACCCAAGCAUACCAGAAAAACCUCUACUCUCUCCAAUGGCAAGUAAUCUAGCAGUAUCAUCUUCAUUAGGUGAUCUCAAGUACUCAUCUUCAAAAACCUCAACAACAGCAUUGACAAACCUUCUUAAACUCUCAAUAGCAGUACUCUCACCAAUACGGACAUAAUCAUCUAUAGCAUGAGCUACUACUCCAUAAGUUAACAUGCGAAAUGCUGCAGUAAUCUUUUGCAGACUAGAAAGGCCAAGUACACCGGCAGCGUUUCUUUUCUGCACAAAAUAUUCAUCGUGUUGCUCUAUCCAUAUACGUACAAAUAGUGUAAGCCUCAUUUGAAACCUGCAUGUCAAGAGUAAUGAGACACAUGUAUAAUAUGAAUUUUUUGAAAAAAUGGUCCAAAUAAAUCUAUUGUUUACGUACCGUCGUCUAAAAUAACUAUGUCCGUACGUAGGAUUAUCUAAAAAAUAAUCUUGAUACAACCUUUGAUGUCCUGCUUGUCUGUCUCGCCGAAGUACUCGAUGACCUAUGAUAGAACCAUGAUGUUUUAUUUCAUCAUCGGACUCAUCCGCAUCCACGGCCAUAUGAGCAACAGAGAGUAAGAAAUCAUCAUCGUCAUCAUCUGACAACGAAUCCAGCACCAGAUGCAUUGAAAGGCUUCGUCGACUCAUAGCGAAUCUUGGACGGUCGGCACCAGAUGCAGAGGCUGCCGGCGUUGCACGACGCACGCAGUGCGCAGGGGCCUUCCCCAAGUGGCAUGAUUAGGAACCGGAUAAGAAAGGACCUGCGCAAGGGCUCCAGUAUCGGCGUUUGGAGGAGGGCGCCGUGUGCAGCUGCCAGUCUGGCGGCGAUGGCAGCUGUGAUCGUGAGGAGGGGAUGGGAAAAAAGGGCCGUGCGCAAGGGCUGGGAAAAUAGGGCCGUGCGCAGCUGCUGUCUGUGGCGUAAUCGUGAUGAGCGUCUACGGCGUGAUCAUGACGAGGCUGGGAAAAAAGGCCGGCGACGCGAGGGUUCCCAAGGUGCUGAAAAAACAACAGAUUCUAAUGAGUCCAAUACGAUGACGUGGCAUGUUUUGAAUUAUUGGAGAAAGUUUUUAACGAUAUGCUAUGAGCUCAUAUAUUUUAGGGGGAAAAGUUUUUAGCAUAACCCUCAAUAACUCAUUUUCUAAGAGAGCUCUUGGAGUUGCUUUGCAGAGGGUUUUUUUUGCACAACAAAUUACAUCUGGAAUCCAUUUACAGGUGAAACAACCUACAAGAUUCCCAAACAGUCGAUGCACACAGAUCCGGAACCUAAAUCAAAAUUGAGAUAAUUUUCCAUAUGUAUCCCCCACAUUUACAGCCAGCAACCGUAUUUUCGCCCUACCAGCUGCACGUACCGGCCCUUAGCCGUGUCACGUGUUACAGCCAUCGAUCCCAAAGAUCCCGAGAAGCUCAGACGGUGGCAAGCUUCUUGCCGAGGAUCAUGUCGUCCGUGGUGAAGUCGGCGGCCUUCCGGAACGUGCCGCGGCCGAAGUCGAGGUUGUACGAGUCGGUGAGCCCCUCGACGAGGUCGAACUCCGGCGUCCACCCAAGCUCCCUGGUCGCCUUCUCGAUCGACGCGAAGAAGUGCUGGAAAUUAAAAUCACCCAGCGUCACAAACACAAGCCAGCUCUCAUCUAUCACUAGUAACACUGAGGGAUCUCUAUCUUUGUACCUGGUCCCUGAACGGGAAGGCCUUCUUCUUGCCGAAGUCGAAGUCCUUGGGGUUGUAGUGGACGAGCUCCGGCUCAGGGAACCCUCCAGCCUGCACAUCAAACAGCCACAUCCAUUGCUGAAUCGCUGAACUCUGAACAUCACUAUUUCUUGUUCUUGGCGAGAUCUCUCAUUACCUUUGCGCAGGCCCGUGCGAGGCCGUCGAAGGUGACGUACUUGGCCCCGGAGAUGUUGAAGAUCUGCUGGCUCGCCUUGGGGUUGCCGAGCACCAGGUUGAACGCCGUGGCCAGGUCCUUGACAUGGCCGAGCUGGGUGAUCUGGUUGCCGGCGCCGGGGAUGGGGAUGGGGCGGCCUUCCUUGAGGCGGUGGAAGAACCACUCCUCGACGGGGUUGUAGUUGAGCGGGCCGUAGAUGUACACGGGCCUGAUCGACGUCCAGUUCACGCCGCGGGAGGUCAGCAGGCUCUCCGUCUCCAGCUUCCCCUUGUGACGGCUCUUGGGGUCCACCGCAUCGCUCUGCCGGCCAAGAACAAUGGUGAGAGCCCCUGGCGCCAUUUUAAUGGUGCCAUUGUGUGACAGAGAGGAUUUGGACAAACCUCGCAGUGUGGAAGAAGGUCGGAUUUCAGGUACACUCCGGCUGAUGAGCAGUAGAUGUACCUGGAAGUUGAUUUUUUGGAAUUUGGGACGAUGAGAGAUGCAUUGGGGGGGUACUGUAUGUAGCUUGUGAAGUGUCAGAUGAAGUGGUUAUAGCUUACUGUUCCAGGUUGGGCAAGGCUUCGAUUAUGGGCUCAACUUCGACAGCCUCGCGUCCUGAAACCACCGUGAGGCAAAAUGCAUCAACAGCAUGAUGCUACACAAUGUUAAUGCUUUGGCGAAAUGCGAUUGACGAUGUGGUGCUAUGCAAUGCUAACUUUUUACUAAAACCUUUCCUAAAACAGACUACUAAGGGUGAUUGCAGAAGAGCACUUUCACGGUGCCCACAGAAUUAGCAUACUGGUUUGCACCUGAGCAGGUUCUUUACAGUCUAUGUAUAGAGUUUUGGACUUUCAGUUGUAGUUAUUUAAGCUUCGAAUAGUAUUACCGUUGAUGUCGUAAACGACAUUGUAUCCCUUAGCAGCAAGGCUUGUCUUGACGAAUUCGAAGUCCAUCCUGUCACCUUUCAAGUGCUGAAUCUGUACAGAUGCAAACCAUCCCAAACCCAGCAUCAAUACGGAUGAACUUGUGAUUUCGGUAACACUUUUAUACUGUCCUAAACAGUAUGAUAUCCUCUAUACCUUUAGUAUCCUUACAUUCUUACACGCACAUUACAUGUGAAGAAUCCUACUGAAUACUGACACAGUGUAUACAUAUGAAGAAAAGAGGAGGAAACAGGGCACCUUGGAGG
rnacentral:lncRNA from 1 species